GCAAGCUUGGCAUAGUGGUUUGAGUGCUGGACUAUGACUCUGGAGACCAGGGUUUGAUUUCCAGAUUGACCA